rnacentral:rRNA from 1 species
UACGUAGGGACCAAGCGUUGUUCGGAUUUACUGGGCGUAAAGGGCGCGUAGGCGGCGCGGUAAGUCACUUGUGAAAUCUCUGAGCUUAACUCAGAACGGCCAAGUGAUACUGCAGUGCUAGAGUGCAGAAGGGGCAAUCGGAAUUCUUGGUGUAGCGGUGAAAUGCGUAGAUAUCGAGAGGAACACCUGCGGCGAAGGCGGGUUGCUGGGCCGACACUGACGCUGAUGCGCGAAAGCCAGGGGAGCGAACGGG